CUCAACAUACUCAUGAUCGUAAGAAACUAAGUAAAGGUUGUGAAAAAAAUUUGAUCCCAAAGUAACCUUGAUCCAACCCAUCCAACCUUAUGACAGCACAUGAGCACAUCUCUACAUCUCUUGAUAUUUUUUUUUUUUUUUUCCCUCUUGCUGGGUUUUGUGCCUAGCUGGCCUUUGAAAGAAUCGAACAGCCAAAGUCUUGAUAUUUAAUCACUGUAGUGACUAAGUAAAUAAUUGCGAUGGUUGUCACUAAAGUUUGUGGCAGCACUAGAUGUCUUGUCUGAUUCUGUUUCUGAUUAGCAGAGUAUCAGCUGAAAUGAAAUCACGUUGAAAGUUUGAGGUUGGGGAUGGGACAUCAACUUUAUAAUAUUUAAUUGUUUACUGUCAAUUGUUCAUUUAAAUGAAAGUAAUUGUGGUUAUUUAAAUUGAACAAAAGAAAAAUUGAUAAAAUAGAAGAUUUGAAAAAAAAACUUUCGCGGACUUUAAGUGAAAUUUUAAAUUGAGGUCAAUUUUGGAAAUGGAGGAUAAUUCCAAAGAGUUUGCUAAUGAUGUCAAUAUCAUUAAACCAUUGAAAAAUUUUAAUGAAGCUAUUGUUAAUAUCUAGAAAGUUUUAAAGAUGACGGAGGAUCCAACUUUGUAUUAAAAAUUGACAACUGAAGGAAAAAUAUAAUAUAAUACACUGAUGUCAUUUAAUUUGAAUAGUUUUUGGAUGCACUUGAGAGUACAAGGUGCUGAGCCAGGAGUUGACGAAAUAAGAAAUGAAAAUGACAGAUUGAAAAAAGUUAUGGGAAUAGCGCAAGAAUUAUUUAAUAUAUACAUACACAUGUAUCCAAUAAUAAUCACUCAUAACAUGAAAAUAUAUGACGUAUAAAAACAAGUAUAAACACGUGCUUAUAUUUUUAUCUGUCAAAACAUUUAAAAAAAUGGAAAAAUGUUUGAAAUUAAUGACAAUUUAAAAAUAUUUAUUGUCUUAUUGAUAUGUAAGCAGUCAUUCAAUGCGUUUAAUGUCAACAUAAAUCUCUAAAAUGAGUUUCCAGAUGAUGUAUUCUCUCGUAGAUUCAUUAAUUUGUUACUCAAGGCAACAUCUUUCGAGAAAAAUGACAAUUUGUUGACAUCAAGUCUAACAGUCGAAUUAACGACGACAGAUUUAAUCAAAUUAAAAAAUUUUGCCAUCGGGAAAUCUACCAUGCGUGAAAUAGAUUCAAUUAUUGGUCAUAUUUUUAUAAAACCAGAAAAAAUUUAUACACAAGAUACUUAUUUAUUUAUCAAAGAAUUUAUAUAUUUUUUAAUAAUACACAAGGAAAUAACGUUAAUAACAAUAAUUGUCCUGUGGAUUGCAUGGAUAAUAUUGACAACAAAAUGGAAUAUGUUAAAAAUAACUCUUAUCAUUUUAUUGACAGUAUUCGCAGCGAGUUUUAUUAUUACGUGGUUACAAUUAUUACAUUUUUUUCCGUCAGCUAAACGUCAAGUUCUCCUGUUCUUAGUCUUGACUGUAAUUUGAUGACAACAUAAACUACAAGUUGACAGAAAUCUACAGCGUAAUAAAUAUGCAUUGAAUCAAAAAAUUGCGGGACAAAAAACUUGCAGAGCAUAAGUUGGAUUAAAUCUGACAGAAAAAAGCUGACAAGUUGAAGUUUUGAACUAUUUGUAUUAUCAACUUUUAGCAGUCAACUUGAUAUCUUCAAUUGAAGCUGAGAUAAAGCUGACAAUGAAGCAGGUUCAGUUUGCGCAGGCACCAAUUCAAUGUAAUCCACACAAAAUGUCCUGGUGGGAUAAAUUAUAGACAGCAUGUAGUUCUGUAGAUGAACAUCAAAAAUAUUACGAAGCGAUGAUGGAAAAUCCAUUUCUUCAAGUGACUUCAGCACAGGCGCUGUCUAAAAUGAUAGCGGCAUGUGUGGUAACAUCUGUUGGGUUAAUUGGUCAUGCUAUCGGAGAUUUUGUCAAUAAUGCGAAAAAAAAAUCAAUGAAAUAAAAUCAAUUUUUUUUUUGUUUUAGAAAAUCUUUGGUUCCCAAUUCAAAUGGUCGUUGCGCCAUUAUUAAUAAUCGGAACAAUAUAAGUUACUGGAAUGGUAUUGGCUAUACUCGGAGGUGAAUCUUUGAACCUUUGGGGCUUUGGGCCUUUUCCUGGUCUUUCAUUACGCGGACGUACAGAGUCACGCAAUAGUAAUUUACCAAGUACUGAUUCACGAAAUACCGGUACCAAUUCAAUGUAAUCCACAUAAAAUGUCAUGGUGGAAUAAAUUAUGGACACUGUAGAUGAAUGUCAAAAAUAUUACAAAACGAUUUUUAAAAUUUUAAUUAAGUUGUAAACAUUUUACUUACAUCGAUAAGGACUGAUGAUUGUCAAUAAUUUCAUACUAAAACUAAUACUACUGUAAUUAUUGCUAAUAAAUUAAUUUUUUUCUUAAUUUAAUUUAAAAUUAGUGAUCAUUUAUUCACUCCCGGAAAGCGCAUAUAUUAUUAGUUAUUUACAAUAAUUGAAAUAAAAGAUAAUAGAAAUUAUAAACAAAUUGUUUUUUUAAUUAUAUAUGAAAUAUCCAUGAAAAAUAUUAAAACUGUGUUUUUUUCUAUUUUUUGUUAAUAAUAUGGUUAUUUUUUUAACGUUUCAACGCCGAUAUAUUUUGAAAUAAUUAACGUUUUUUGACGUUUUAGAUGGUAAUCGACGUAUUUAAGUUCUAGAGCUGCUGAGGUUUCGAAGUCGAUAAUUAAUUAAUAAAAUAUGGUCAAGACGUCAGCUAAUUUUAGUGUCAUAUAAAAAUGUAAGUGCAAGUUAUGAAUAAUGCCAAGUACUUCAACAGUAUGCCAAUAAACGUGAUAACCUGAUAACAUUUAAUUUUUUUUUGUUUUGUACGUAAAGUAUACUGUAAUUUUUUUAAAAAUUUUUAUAUCGUAAAUAAUAAGAUGAAAGUAGUUAUUUAAACUUGCACAGAUAUCUUUUUGAAAGUUCAAAUAAAUAAUAUGAAUUAUAAGUUAUAUGGAAAUUUAUAUCAAAAUGUUUACAAGUAAUGUGUAGUUAAUUUUUAAAAAUGUGUCAGGUAUUUUUCAUCUAGCUUAUUAUUAUGA